GAGGGAGAAAGAGCAAUAACAGAUGGAAGGUAACCAGGGCCUGAAGUAAACAGCUCUGGGUCAGAAGACAUGUACUCUCAAUGGGUUCACCCCUGAAUCUGCUGUCAGAGGUCCUGGUUGAAUGUAUCAUGUCACAAGUCAAGCUGAAUGCCAGGAGAGACACUCCAGAUGGACUCAGUCUGGCACUUCUGACUCUGGAGAAAAACAGCUGAGGUCAAAUCUUAAUGCUACUGAAUCUGAGGUGUGAUUUGUUACAGUUCACUGAUAGGAUUUCUCCUAUUCUUUUUUUCUUGGUGUAAGGAAUACAUCACAGAACAAAGUAA